rnacentral:tRNA from 1 species
GCGCCUCUAGCUCAAUGGUAGAGCACUUGACUCUUAAUCAAUAGGUUCCGGGUUCGAGUCCCGGGGGGCGCACAA